UUACAUAUUCGUUUGAAGUGAUUUUUCAGUACUGUUUGAAAACCUCUCUCAACCCGGUAUCAUGUAAUAGCCAAGAUCUAAGGCUCACCAUGUUUUUGGUUCUUUUUCUCUUUGUCUUACAGAUAACAGACGGGUACCUUUGGAAAGGUCACGCUCUCGCCACAAUGGAGCUAUCUCAUCUAAGUGAUUCCUGAUGCCAAAGAAUAUGAAAAAUAUUUAAGUAAACAAAAUCAUAUGUUUUCAGAAGAACAAAACAUGCAUUCAAGGGUCAGAGUGGAUAUAAGUGUAUUUCUGCAAAGGUCAAGCUAAACUGGAUGAAUUGAUGUGCAUUUGUAGAACUAUCACUAGACUCCUCCCACAAUACCUAUGUGACAGCUCACAGGACUAGAAAUAUUUGUUCCACUUUAGCGUAAAAAUGUCUGUUCUUUGUUGUUGUGUGACCUGACUCUGAAGAGGGAAUUGUAAAAAAUUGAAGAGUUUUGAGACUUUCAAAUAUUUAAAAUCCUAAAUUUCUAGGUCACUCCCACUAAAAGAAAAAGAAGAAGAAAAAAAGAAUAGACAGAUCUAUUCACUGUCUGCUUCCAAUUUAAUAGAUAGCAAAGGAAAAGGCCAAGACAAAAUGUGCAUGCUAAUGAUUUGGAAAGGUGCUAAUAUUGCACACAGUGUAAGAGAAGCCAUUUUGAAAACUCAAAAAAGUAUAGCUCCAUGUCAGUCAAGUUAUUUAGAAUCUUAUCUCAAGUGAAAGCUGAUGGAUUCAUCUGCUUUGGCUGAAAUUAAAUUUAUCAUUAGUCUAGCGUUUCAGCAUGAUAUUGCAAGCACACAUCAUUGCUAAAAAUAAACCAAAGUUUAACAGAAUCAGUUAGGGAAAAUGACUUCAACUUUAUUUAAAGAGGUAUUUUCUAAUAUGCAUAGAUGUCUACUUUAUACAAAUACUUUAUAUGACUAUUUUUUGAGAAAAACUCCACAUUUUAAUGUUUGUGCUAGGGAUGUACCUGAAAGUUCUAUUAUCUUUAUUUAGAUUUUAAAGGCAAAUAUUGAUUCUUAUUUGUGGUUUAUUUCUUCUCUCUAUUGCUUCUUUCUCCCUUGACCCCCUUGAAGGCAGGGAAUGGAGUUCUAGAAGACCUGGGAGGAAAGAGAUUUCUUUCUAUAAAAGGCAGCAGAAAACUGUGUGAAAGGUCAACUGUUCUAUCUUCCUUUCUACUCCCCUUUCCAAUUCUGUUUUGGUGGUCUGAAGAAGAAAAAAAGAAAUUCUAUAUAUGUAUAUGUAUAUACAUGUGUGUAUAUAUUUGUAUCUCUUGCUGCAGUAAUUGCACAUCCCAGUAACUAAGUGAACUUCUCAGUCAUCAUCAUACUUACCUUAUAUUAACAAAUUUAAACGUUGCUGCCACAACAACUCUGGGGAAAAAAACAAGGUCUAUGUUUUUCUCAAAUAGAUGAAAGUUAAAGUUAUACUUAACUUAUCUGUUAUUUUAUGAUAUGCAUUGAAAUAAUUGGUGUAACUUCUCUGGAGUGCAAUUUGAAGACCAAUUCAUGCAGAUGAUUGUGAUUACUGUAAAAGAGUUAUUAUAUGUAUAUUUCUUAUGUAGAAAGUCCUAUUUCUAUUCCUCCACUGCACAUGAUAGAGAAAGAACAAAUGACUGGCUUGGCAAGUCACCAUCUGAGAUAAGUGACCAGUAGCUCACAGAAUUCUUUAUAUAGAUGUAUAAUAAUUUACAUGGUUGCCUUGUCCUCCAGUGCAUUCUGGCUUGAGUAUUAUACUUCAAAAUUCUCUGAAAGCUGCUAUAAUAGAGAAAUCAAAGUCACAACAUCUGAGAUUUUUUCCACGUUUUCCUGACUGAAAACACACAUGUGCACACAUAAACAUGUUUGAGGACACAUCUGUUUUCACACACUAUUUUUAACAACAGCAAAAGUUUAGGUCCUACUAAUUUAGGUAAAUAACUAAUGUGUGCAUUUUUGACUUUGCAAAGAUUUUUUUCUGAAAUCUUCAUGGUAUCACUUCUUUGAGUCUUUUGACUAUAGAAAAAAUUAUUUUGAAGUGUCAACCUUGACUAAAUUUUGGAGACAUUUGCCAUGCCAUAUUAUCAAAUUUGUCAAGGUAGAAAUAGUGAUGUGUAUUGCCUUUUCCAGAUGCAAACUUGCCUUAUUUUCUAGUUUGUGAACAAGAAUGAAUGAAGUGCUAUUCUUGAUAAGUUAUAUAUUUGUAUUUACAGCAAUCCACAUGCUUUCACAAACAUUAAAAAAAACCUUUCAGGGUCCAAUAAUUAAGUUAAAAGAUUUACUUAUCAGGUUUAUAAUGGUCCUGUUUUAGCCACUUGCAUUUUUUAUUUAGAUUGAAAAGUACAUAGUGACAUUUUAGUAUAAAACCAAAUUAUACUAAAAUCUUUUGUUUCUUACUACCACACAGGAGAAGCACCAAUUAUACAGAUUUUUUUCAGAAUCUUAAAAAAAUAGAAAACACAUAAAAUGUUAACUAAUUAUAUUUGUUUCCUUUGGCUACUAUAAUAAAUGACCACAAAUUUGGUGGCUUAAAACAACAGAAAUUGAUUCUCUCAUUGUUCUGAAAUCUAGGGGUUCACAGGGUCAUGCUCCCUCCAGAGGUUCUAGAGAAUCCUUUCUUGUCUCUUCCAGCUUCUGAUGGCUAUUGACGUUCCUUGGCUCAUGGCCACAUUUCCACUCAUCUUUGCAGCACCUUUUGUCUGUGUACCUAAUCUCCCUCUGCCAGGAUAAUCUCUUCAUCUCAAGAACUUUAAGUUAAUUACAUCUCUAAAACCCCUUUUCCAAAUAAGGGAACAUCUAGAGGUUCUGCCCUCUGUCCCCCACCCAAAAUUGAUGUCUUUCUCAUGUGUAAAAUAUAUUCACCCUAUUCCAACAUUCCUAAGUCUCAGCUGAUUACAGUUUCAACUCUAAAUAAUUACAAAUGUUCCUAUUCCAGAAGGAGAUAAUGGAAAAGGGAGUCAGUCACCUGUCUUAAUCAUUUUCAAAAACUAACUAAAUUCCCUUUAGGAUUCAAGGCCUAGCAACAGUCCUCUCUGUCUCAGUGCCCCACCCUUUGGGUCUGAAGUUCUCCCCUCUUGGACCAUGAACUGGGCCUCUGCCUCUGUGCCCAUGGGUCACAAUUCUGACUCUCCCCUCAUUCUUGGCCCUCCAACUUUGCACUUGCAGCUUUUCCCUUGGUGCCAUCCUCCUUUUAUCUUGAAAAUUGGCACAUGUUUGUAGCUGAAUAGUUUAUAUUUUCCUGUUUUUCUGCCUGUAGAAUAUUGUUAGUCUGACAGCCUUCUCUAAUUUUGUCCUGUCUCUGCCCCUUGCAGGCCAAGCAAAGACGUUUCUGCUGAUAUAGCAUUCUCAAAAACUUGGUAGAGCUCCCAUAUAUCAUGUUGAUUCACACAAUUAGAAAAGAGGGCCCUAUUACAUAUCUUUCCUGGAUAACUUUCUCUCUAUUCCUGGUUUCUGCUGAGAUGGUUGAGUAAAUCCAUGACUCAAUGCCUGAUCUCUUUAGCACUAGGCAAAGAAUAUCCAGCCACAUCCUUAGCCUUGGCCCUAUCUUCAGAGUACACUUUCCUAAUAUUGAAUCUCCUAACUUUAGCCUCUUUUACAUUCUGAAUAGGCUUGGAAUCUCUUAACUCAUCAAGUACUGGUUCUUUUCCCACUUAACAGUCUUUCCUCCAUUUUUCUUCCCUAUUUUACUCUAGGCAGAGAAGAAACUAUGCCAUACCUCUAAUGCUUCAAUUACAACUCUCCUCAACCAAAUAUCCUAGUUUGUCACAUGUUCCCCUUGCCACACAACUUUAGGUGGCAAUUCAUAUAGGCUUUUUGCCAAUAUAGAACGAGCAUUGCCUUGCUUACAAUAUCCAAUAAAAUGAUCUUCAUUUCAUUGCAGGCCCUCACCAAAAAUGCCUUUUAACACUCAUAUUUCCAUCAAUGGUCCAGUCUAUGCUUUUUCUAUCACAUGCAUCAAAAUUCUUCCAGUCUAUGCCCAUUAUUCAAUUUCAAGGCCACUUUCACAUUUUAAGAUAUUUGUUACAGCAAUAGCCCAUUUGCCUGUACUGAUACCUGUAUUAGAUUUUUGUGGCUGCUAUAACAAAUUACCCCAAACAUAGUGGUUUAAAAUAGUAUUCUCUUCCUGUUUUAGAGGCCAAUGUCCAAAAUUGAGUUAUGUUCACUGUGGGAGAAAUAUGUUCCUUGCAUCUUCUCAUUUUUUGUGUCUGUUAUCAUUCCUUGGCUGCAUCUCUUUCUGCUCUUUCUCCACAUCAUCUUCCCUUUAGUGCAUCUAAUCUACCUCUGCCUCUCUUGUAUUAGGACAUUUAUAAUGGAAUUUGGGGCCAUUCAGAUUACCCAUGAUAAUCUUAUCUCUAAAUCCUUAAUUUAAUCAUAUCAUCCAAAUUUAAUUACAUUUUCCAAACAAGCUAAUUCACAGAUUAUAGGGAUUAGGAUGUGAACAUAUCCUCCUUUUUUGGAGGGGGCACCAUUCAGCCACUACAUUAGUCACUUACACUUUUAAAAAUAUAUCUUUGGUGCUUGAGACAAAUUUAAGGUUUUCUCUAAAAGCUAUUAUCUGUACAGGCUACUGCAUGCUUUGUUAAGUGGACAAAGUGGUUAUUCUAAACUUUGGUUGAUACUUUAGCUAAUAUGGCCAAUUAGCUUGAAAAAAAUGGAUCUCAACUCUGCGCUUGAGUGUAUCUCUUCUGCCCCUUUUUUAAGAAGUCUUUGACCAAAUGUCUUCUAUGAUUCAUAAUGCAGACACAAAACUACCUCUGAUACAGAAGAGUUCCUUACACGCUUAUUUUAGAUAUUGUGAAUCCCUCAGCUGAUGGGAGAGGUGAAAGCAAAGACAACAUUAAAUGAGUAUUGAGGGAGAUUGUGUCCAUACCAAGCCACCAUGAAGAACCAUUUCAGUAGCAGUAAACUGUGCAUUUGUGCUCUCAUUUUGCCUCAGAAUAAAUGUCUGUAUCUAUGCAGGGCCAUGAAUGACUUGCAAUCUUUAUGUAAUGCCUACUUUACUUAUUCAAUAAAGUUAAGAUAAACAUUAAAUGUUGUGU
rnacentral:lncRNA from 1 species